ensembl:lncRNA
CCUGUAACAGUGGUGAGGGACAUCUCGGACCAGUUUGCAUUCACUAACAAAGAGGCCGUCUUUGAGUGCGAGAUCAAGAUUAACUACCCCGAGAUCACCCUGUCCUGGUACAAGGGCACUCAGAAGCUGGACACCAACGACAAGUAUGACAUCAGUAUCCAAGGCGACCGCCACCUGCUCAAGAUCAAAAAGUGCCAGACGGCUGACCAGGGAAACUACCGCGUGGUGUGUGGGCCGCACAUCUCCAGCGCCAAGCUCACCGUUUCUGAGGCGGAAGUGGAGAAGCACCUGCAGGACACCUCGGAGAUUGAAUUAGCAAUGGUUCCUCUCGAUAUCCCAGACACAUCAAUUCAGAGGCCUGAAAUGCCUUCUUCUGUUGCAAUCCAAGAAUCUACUGAGUUCUAUGAAUAUGAAGAGGAGAGGAAGCAAAGAGUGCAAGAGUCAGCAGAGUAUUCUUAUCACUACGAGGAGGAGGUGGAGCAGAGAGUCGCUGUUGAAAGCUGGAAAGAGGAGACUAUAACACAACAAGUUAUUGAAGCUCAAGCUUCCAGAGUUGCCAUUGAGGAAACAGUUGAAACUACCAAAGUGGAAACCAGGGAGACAAUCCCAAUUAAAGAUGUGAAAGUCGAAGAAAAGCCCAAGGCUGCUGUCAAAGAGCCCUCACCUCCUAAAGUCAUACCCAAAAAGCCAGUGGAAGAAAAAGUGGAAGUAGUUUCCCUUCCAGAGAAAAAAGAACUUCCUGCUGUCAAAGAACCAGAAGAGUUUAAGAAACCUGCUCCUCCUCCAAAAAAGAAGCCUGAAGAGCCAAUCAAAG